CCAAACAUAGACUAUUAUUAGUAAUAUUAGUAUCUGAAAUAGACCUGUUGAAUGGUAGAUCUACUGAGUUUGUGUUCGUUGAUCGUUGUUGGACGUUGCCGUGUAACUGUGUCUUUUGUUUAAACUCCACUAACUGGCUGGCUAACUCGAGAUGAGCGGUGCUAGAGGCGGUCAGAAUCCUCGCUUCGAUGCGGAUAAGAAGCUGGCACUAUGGUCGCAGCGAGAUCUGAUGAGACUGCAAGACUGCCUGAUGGAGCUCAUUGACGGGGCUGAGAUGCGCCUGGUCUCUGAGUAUCUCAUCUCGCCAUUCAUCGUUUCCGGUGGACGUGCAAACAUCCUCGUCGAGAACCGACUUCCUCGCUCACGGCAGCUGACAGAUGCUGUGUUCCUUACAGAGAUGUUAAAGGUUUGGAUGGAUAGAGACGGCAAUGCGACUUUGGAGAAGCUGUGUGGAGCAAUAGAGCAAAUCAUGAUCGAAGAUAAGGGGAGAGCAAGACAAUGCCGACGUCACUUAGGCCUUUGAGGAGUACCACGCCAGUCACCAUCUUGAUGAUGGUUUGUGCCUAGGGUGCUACUCCUGUACAGUGCUCUGUGCGGCAUUGUACUUUUGAUCUUCAUGAUUGUAUGUCCAUAUAGGCGAAAAGACUUGACCUGAUUUACCGGAUGCGUUCAGACUUGCAGCCAGAUAAUAUGUCAGGUGCAUGGUUAAUUGUAGAGGUUCACCAGUGAUCAUCAUAAUCACGAGUAUGGCAAUGCUCUCUACCAUAAUAAUUGAUAGUGGUCGAUGGUCGUGAAGCAAAUCCUGUUGUAAAUAAACAUGUUGCAUGCUUAGCUGCAUUACUAUGAAGUAUUUUCAGCCAAAUUCCUUUGAUAUUCUAGUACAUUUUCGACUUAGGAUAGUUUUUUUUAAAUUAACAGUGCUUCCAUUAAUUAUACGUGUGCAACCUGCCGCUGAUGACGAUGCUUAAAUAGCAUCUCCUCACUCUAGGAAUUCUUGCAAGCUGGUGUUGCCGUACCACAUUUUUUUUGUCUCAGCACAAAGAGUAUUUUCAAUAGGUCUUUAUCUUCAUCUGA